CAUGCUUUGAUGAUACUUGUCUUUUAAUUACACUUUCCUUCAUCCUUAAGCAUGACUCACGACUCCAACACUUGAGGCUACUUAUACAUCUCUUGGAUAAGACAUUUAAACCACCAAAUAUAUCACCAAGUGAAAGGGAGAGCAAAGGAAGCAAAGAGAGAAAAGUAAGAAGCUGGGAUUGCAGUUUGUAAAGGUGAUUUUCCGACUUCGAGUGAAAAAGGAUAUUGACCUAAUCUCCAUAGAAGCUUGCACACACAAAGGUGAAAGGUGAGCAUGGAACUACAUAGAGAGCAUGGCUAGCUGUGGAG